UUGUACUGCAGUUGAGAACAAAUAAUGCCAAAAUCAAAAAAAAAAAGCCAAACAGCAGCGGCGUAAUCAGCCGCAGAUCCGGCUAGAUGCGGGUUCUCCUGAAGACAACAGGAACGGGGAUAGAACAGUGGAGACCAACAACAAUGGAGGCAAUGGGAUGUUGUUGACUCAGCUGGAGCAGAACGAAAUUGACAAAAUGACGGCUACAUGGACAGAAAUAAUGAACCGGAAGAAUGGUGAAUUAAAUGAAAGUAAAAUGAAAGUGACCCAGCUUGAGCUGGAAAACAUGCAGCUGAAAACAAAUAAUUAGGCCAAAGAAGUCAAGCUGGUUGAGCUGAAGAACAACUAUUAUGCAAAAGUCAAGGAAUGUAUCAUGAUGGAACAAAAACUUGCCCAGACUGAGGCAAUAGUGCAACAUUAUGAGGGGAUUAUAAAGGCAUCGAUAGAAAAUCAUAGACAUUCACAAAUAUCGAUGGAGUGUGCCAUUCAAAAAACCCCCCGACGACUUUAAUCGCGAAGCUGCUAAUAAGGUGUUAAGAGUAGGG